rnacentral:rRNA from 1 species
UGUCUUUUUGGAAAUAAUAUAAAGUCUAAUCUGCCCACUGAUUAAUAAAUUAAAGGGCUGCAGUAUAUUGACUGUACAAAGGUAGCAUAAUCAUUAGUCAUUUAAUUGAUGACUUGUAUGAAGGAUUGGAUGAGAUAUAAACUGUCUCUUAUUUAAUUAUAUAAUUUAAUUUUUUUAUUAAAAAGUUAAAAUACUUUAAAAAGACGAGAAGACCCUAUAGAGUUUAAUAAAUAUUUAAGUUAAGAUUAUUUUGAGGUAUAAACUUGAAAUUUAACUAUUUAUUUUGUUGGGGUGAUAAAAAAAUAUAAAAAACUUUUUUUAAAAUAAUACAUUUAUAAGUGAUUAAAUGAUCCAAUAUUAUUGAUUAUAAGAAAAAAUUACCUUAGGGAUAACAGCGUAAUUUUUUUUUUUAGUUCAAAUAAGAAAAAGAGUUUGCGACCUCGAUGUUGGAUUAAGAUAAAAUUUAAAUGUAGAAG